CAUUCCUACGGGGCGCAGCAGUCGAGAAUCAUUCACAAUGGGGGAAACCCUGAUGCAGCGACGCCGCGUGAGGGAAGACGGUCUUCGGAUUGUAAACCUCUGUCUUUGGGGAAGAAAAUGACGGUACCCAAAGAGGAAGCUCCGGCUAACUACGUGCCAGCAGCCGCGGUAAUACGUAGGGAGCAAGCGUUGUCCGGAAUUACUGGGUGUAAAGGGAGCGUAGGCGGGAUGGCAAGUAGAAUGUUAAAUCCAUCGGCUCAACCGGUGGCUGCGUUCUAAACUGCCGUUCUUGAGUGAAGUAGAGG
rnacentral:rRNA from 1 species